UAACACAUAAUCCAGAUGGCUCCUUACGUGUUAAAAAUUGUCACCCCAAUUUCACUCCAAUUUGGAAAAAUAUUGGAGUGACGUUUGAAUAAUCUGAAAUUUUUAGAUUCCUUUUCUAACUUUUUUGGGAGGUUUUGCUUCUCUUGCACAGAUGUCGCUUGCACUUCAGUUGCGUGGUUGCCAAACGUUAUAUCGAAAUAUAUUUCAUUUCAUUAUGAAUAUAUAAAAUUAAAAAUUAUGUAAUUUAUAAACAUGAAAUAGAUAUGGAUGUUAGGUAAUACCGGAUGUUAAAUUAAUAUAUAAAUAUUUAACUUAAUACGUACAUUAUUAUUUUAUUAAUUUAUCGUCACACGUCAUUUACCAGUUGCCUAAUUACGAAAAGUUUCAUAUGAUAUUAACCUCAAAAAUGAUCUUUGAAAACAAACAACAACAAAUAACUCAAAGAAAUAACUACAUAAUAAUAACUGAUAAUAAUGACUUUUAAUGGUAUAAAGGCUGAUGAAGUUUUAGACAACCAAUACAAGAUUCAGAACUCGGCAUCGCGAUAAACAAGUAAAAUUGUACAUUCAGGAACUCGUUUAAAUAUUAUAGGUUGAUUGAAGAAUAAUCUACAAUUGAUUAGAGCCUAUGACGAUGCGAAGAUAAUUAAUCACCUAACUUUAAGAAACCAGCCUAAAGAAGUUUACAUGCAUCUCAUCUAACCAUUAUAGGUAAUAAUUUACAAAAUUAGUCAUUUUUGAUUAUAAUAUUAUGGUACUUAGGUACAUUUUAUCUUCUAGAUCAGUAGUGAUUUUUCAUAAUUUGAAUGAACUCACAGAUAGCAAUGG